rnacentral:rRNA from 1 species
GAUGAACGCUGGCGGCGUGCCUAAUACAUGCAAGUCGAGCGAACAGACGAGGAGCUUGCUCCUCUGACGUUAGCGGCGGACGGGUGAGUAACACGUGGAUAACCUACCUAUAAGACUGGGAUAACUUCGGGAAACCGGAGCUAAUACCGGAUAAUAUAUUGAACCGCAUGGUUCAAUAGUGAAAGACGGUUUUGCUGUCACUUAUAGAUGGAUCCGCGCCGCAUUAGCUAGUUGGUAAGGUAACGGCUUACCAAGGCAACGAUGCGUAGCCGACCUGAGAGGGUGAUCGGCCACACUGGAACUGAGACACGGUCCAGACUCCUACGGGAGGCAGCAGUAGGGAAUCUUCCGCAAUGGGCGAAAGCCUGACGGAGCAACGCCGCGUGAGUGAUGAAGGUCUUCGGAUCGUAAAACUCUGUUAGUAGGGAAGAACAAAUGUGUGAGUAACUAUGCACGUCUUGACGGUACCUAAUCAGAAAGCCACGGCUAACUACGUG